AAGGGAUUAGCUUAGUGGUAAAGCGGUACUUUUACACAGUAUUUACAGGGUUUCGAUUACUCUAUUCCUUA
rnacentral:tRNA from 1 species